rnacentral:rRNA from 1 species
UACGUAGGAGGCAAGCGUUGUUCGGAAUUACUGGGCGUAAAGGGCUCGUAGGCGGCCAACUAAGUCAGACGUGAAAUCCCCAGGCUUAACCUGGGAACUGCGUCUGAUACUGGAUGGCUUGAAUUCGGGAGAGGGAUGCAGAAUUCCAGGUGUAGCGGUGAAAUGCGUAGAUAUCUGGAGGAAUACCGGUGGCGAAGGCGGCAUCCUGGACCGACAUUGACGCUGAUGAGCGAAAGCUAGGGGAGCAAACGGG